GUUGGUGAACCAGCGGAGGGAUCAUUACAGGGGUCUUUUGACCUAAAACCACUGUGCAUUAAUACUUUUUACUGCUGAGGCGGGCCGCUCGCUGGGGGAGCUCAGGCCUGUAAAAGGUGGCACGCCGAAGCAACUUUCAAACUCUUUUUGACCUGAAAAGAAAAAACUUUCAAAUUAUCACAACUCAUAACAAUGGAUCUCUUGGCUCUG
rnacentral:misc_RNA from 1 species